rfam:Biomphalaria glabrata isolate BB02 unplaced genomic scaffold LGTN_random_Scaffold6123, whole genome shotgun sequence.
AGCUUCUUAUGAUGUUUUUUCCUACAUUGUCUGAUUUAAUUGAUUAAAAAAUUUCUGAAGAAGCU